rnacentral:rRNA from 1 species
UACGGAGGGGACUAGCGUUGUUCGGAAUUACUGGGCGUAAAGCGCACGUAGGCGGAUCUGUAAGUCAGGGGUGAAAUCCCGGGGCUCAACCUCGGAACUGCCUUUGAUACUGCAAAUCUCGAGUCCGGAAGAGGUGAGUGGAAUUCCUAGUGUAGAGGUGAAAUUCGUAGAUAUUCGCAAGAACACCAGUGGCGAAGGCGGCUCACUGGCCCGGUACUGACGCUGAGGUGCGAAAGCGUGGGGAGCAAACAGG